AGCGAACGCUGGCGGCAGGCCUAACACAUGCCAGUCGAACGAACUCUUCGGAGUUAGUGGCGGACGGGUGAGUAACACGUGGGAACGUGCCUUUUGGUUCGGAAUAACUCAGGGAAACUUGUGCUAAUACCGAAUGUGCCCUUCGGGGGAAAGAUUUAUCGCCAUUAGAGCGGCCCGCGUCUGAUUAGCUAGUUGGUGGGGUAACGGCUCACCAAGGCGACGAUCAGUAGCUGGUCUGAGAGGAUGACCAGCCACACUGGGACUGAGACACGGCCCAGACUCCUACGGGAGGCAGCAGUGGGGAAUCUUGCGCAAUGGGCGAAAGCCUGACGCAGCCAUGCCGCGUGAAUGAUGAAGGUCUUAGGAUUGUAAAAUUCUUUCACCGGGGACGAUAAUGACGGUACCCGGAGAAGAAGCCCCGGCUAACUUCGUG
rnacentral:rRNA from 1 species